rnacentral:rRNA from 1 species
UGGGGGAUAUUGCACAAUGGGGGGAAACCCGUGAUGCAGCAACGCCGCGUGAAGGAAGAAGGUCUUCGGAUUGUAAACUUUUGUCCUUGGUGAAGAUAAUGACGGUAGCCGAGGAGGAAGCUCCGGCUAACUACGUGCCAGCAGCCGCGGUAAUACGUAGGGAGCGAGCGUUGUCCGGAUUUACUGGGUUUAAAGGGUGCGCAGGCGGCGCGCCAAGUCAGCGGUCAAAGUUCCGGGCUCAACCCGGUGUCGCCGUUGAAACUGGCGUGCUCGAGUGCGUGCGAGGAAGGCGGAAUGCGUUGUGUAGCGGUGAAAUGCAUAGAUAUGACGCAGAACUCCGAUUGCGAAGGCAGCUUUCCAGCGCGCUACUGACGCUGAGGCACGAAAGCGUGGGGAUCGAACAGGAUUAGAUACCCUGGUAGU